AGUGAACGCUGGCGGUAGGCCUAACACAUGCAAGUCGAACGGCAGCACAGUAAGAGCUUGCUCUUACGGGUGGCGAGUGGCGGACGGGUGAGGAAUACAUCGGAAUCUACUUUUUCGUGGGGGAUAACGUAGGGAAACUUACGCUAAUACCGCAUACGACCUACGGGUUAAAGCAGGGGAUCUUCGGACCUUGCGCGAUUGAAUGAGCCGAUGUCGGAUUAGCUAGUUGGCGGGGUAAAGGCCCACCAAGGCGACGAUCCGUAGCUGGUCUGAGAGGAUGAUCAGCCACACUGGAACUGAGACACGGUCCAGACUCCUACGGGAGGCAGCAGUGGGGAAUAUUGGACAAUGGGCGCAAGCCUGAUCCAGCCAUACCGCGUGGGUGAAGAAGGCCUUCGGGUUGUAAAGCCCUGUUGUUGGGAAAGAAAAGCAGCAGGUUAAUACCCCGCUGUUCUGACGGUACCCAAAGAAUAAGCACCGGCUAACUUCGUG
rnacentral:rRNA from 1 species